UCAAACAGGGAGAGUGUCCACUUAGGACAUUAAAAUCAUCCGAUCAAGAGAUCCUUUUUGACACGUCAUCAAGCCCAGCUCAGUUGCUUUGGUUCUUCUUCACGCCUUUGGCGAUCCGAGAGGCGAUAAAUUCGACGUUUCCCUUUUUCAUUUCUCCAGAUCCCGUUUUGCUAGAUCGAAUCGUGAAACCCUUUGCUUUUCUUCUCUUAAUCCACGUUAUCCGGUGAUCCUAAAAGAAGUGUUAUUGUAUCUCGAUGGAUUCUGAUGGGAUCUAAACGCAGCGAUGGAGGCUUGCCGCAGAAGGACAAAGGUUUUAUUUUUUUUGGGACUUGGCGGUCUGGAUCCACAUCCUCAACCUCCAACAUCGAGAGAUCAGCUCGGUUUUGGACAAUCUGCUCGGUCUUGGACAAUCUCCCCGUAUGAAUCUUAUAAUCGCCUCUGCCGCCACCGUUCAUCGUCUUCAUGGUUAUAGUGGCCAAUGCUCCGGUAAUACUUGGAAGGAGUGACGAUAGUGAUGAUGACUCCGCUGGUGAAAACGUAAGAUCAACUGGUCUAGAUAGUCAGCCAUCUGUAUCAGUCGUGCUUUCGAAAACCAAGGAGAAAAUCGCUUGCUUCACCGCCGACCAACCACGCCAGCAGAAGAAGCACAAGAGUCAGAGCACUGUUAGUGAUGCCAACGCUGGAGUCGACCCUGAGAGAAUCUUCUCUCAAUUUCACUGAGAAAGUAAUGAAUGGCUCUUUGUAACAGUUUCUAAAUAAGGUUUUUCGUUGCGUAAAGCUUUUAAAGACAAUGCAAAUGAGAUUCUCAAACGUCACUUCAAUCUCAAACAAAGAUUUUGCUUCAAGGUUUCAGUUAAUGGGGAUGCAUAGACACAUGGAACAGCGAGUUGAUUUUAUGGACUGGGGUCCAGGUGCUCACUGUGGUGAAUAAUCAUGGUUUUUCAAGGGAUGAUUUUAACAUCGAGCAUAAAAUCCAUCAAAGGACGUUAAUUCGGGAAUGCUACAAUGAGUUUUUUAUCUUCUAAAAUUUGUUUUAAAGUUCUUCGAAAUGGUCUAGAAAAGCCUUCCAUUGAUUUUGCAGAUUUUCUUACAUACGCAGAGCCAGAAACUGUCGUCCUUCUUCUCAAGUUUUCCAAUUCUGGUGCUGUCUUGAAUGUUACAAUUGAGAAGAUCCAAGGAGGCAAUGAUUUAAGCAGAUUUGUUAUAUGAAAAUAAGGUCAAUACUUUCCAAGGAGGAUAGCUUCUGAAGCCUAUCAAGCAAUGAUGAAUUAAAGGGAUAUAAAGAAGAUGGCUAUGAGUGUUGGUCUAGGAGUUUCAACUGAUUCUAUUGGUGAAUCAGGUGGAUGGAUGGUUCGGAAGGGAAUGCACACUCGCCAGCUCCUGCAACAAAGAACGGACACUGACGAUCAAACAGAGACAGGUGAAACAUGGACUCCACUUCUGAACAUGUACAAAGCCCAAAUGCAAUUCUGCAAGAUACUUUUUCAAGCAGAUUAUAUCAAGAGCGAGUGAUUGCCAUGAUGUAGUAAGGAAUGACUUACGAAGGUCUACUCAACUCCCACAGACAUACUAAAGCUUUGUUUAUCAUCCCUGUAGUCACAUUAUUUUCAAUAUUCUUAUAGCAAAUACACCAAACUUAGAGGAAAUUGGAAAUAUACCACUUUGUUUAUAAUCAGGGUCGAAUGAAACCAUUUAUGACAUUGAAUUUCCAUUUUGGUGAAAAGAGUUCUGUGUUUGGGUAA